GCAGAUCAUUCUUAUUGUUGGCAUCCGUAAAUUAUGUAAUGAACUGCGAGAACCAGAUUCUGUACCUGAUGAAAGCCCAUGCGAAGAAUUCACAAUUGCGACAGGCAACUCAGAUGGUGAUGGUAUAAACUUUAAUAACCGUCUCAAACGUGCCGAGACCGCUUCAUGGAUUUCGUGUUGUUCCUGGUUGUUUCUAUUUAUCAUCCAAGUAAUCAAGACAGUAAUAAAAUCACGAUCUGGAAACAGACCAACAAAUAGACAGCAACGUGUGCCAGAGGGGCAGAAUGUCGAAAUAAUUAGUUAAAAUUGAGGC